CCCUUAGAUGUUCUGGGCCGCACGCGCGCUACACUGAUGCAUUCAACGAGCCUGGCCUUGACCGAGAGGUCCGGGUAAUCUUUGAAACUGCAUCGUGAUGGGGCUAGAUUAUUGCAAUUAUUAAUCUUCAACGAGGAAUGCCUAGUAAGCGUGAUUCAUCAAAUCGCGUUGAUUACGUCCCUGCCCUUUGUACACACCGCCCGUCGCUCCUACCGAUUGAGUGUGUUGGUGAGGAGUUUGGAUUGGCCUCGGAAGGUGGUUCGCCACCGUCCGUAGCUGAGAAGUUCUCCAAACCGCCCCACUUAGAGGAAGGAGAAGUCGUAACA
rnacentral:rRNA from 1 species